AAAAUAUAAUUGUGAAACUUCAAGAAAAAAAUAACGAAAAAAAUUGAGAAGUAAAAUAAAACACUUAUCUAGAGGAGAUUUAGUUUGGCAAAAAGCUUGCUCAAAGGAGCGCAUGAAGAAAAAAAAAGAGCUAAUGAAUCCUAAUAAGAGCGGUGUCCAAAAAUCUCUUAGUUGAAUGAUUGAACACAAUGAUGAGGAUGACAAUACAAACGCUGAGCCUAAAC
rnacentral:lncRNA from 1 species